rnacentral:rRNA from 1 species
AACGAACGCUGGCGGCGUGGCUAAGGCAUGCAAGUCGAACGGAUCUAUCCAACGGGUAACUGAAGGGUAGAUUAGUGGCGAACGGGUGAGGAAUACAUGGACAACGUACCCUGGACACGGGGAUAGCGGCGGGCCGCAAGGCUCUUUAGCGAAAGUGCCGGUAAUACCCGAUGAUCCCGCAUGGUCGCAUGAUCGUGUGGGCAAAGCUCCGACGGUCUGGGAUCGGGUUCAUGCCCUAUCAGCUAGUUGGUGAGGUAACGGCUCACCAAGGCGGCGACGGGUACCGGGCGUGAGAGCGUGACCCGGCACAUCGGAACUGAGAUACGGUCCGGACACCUACGGG